GGGCCUAUGGUCUAGUGGUUAGGACGUCGCGUUCACAUCGCGGAGAUCGCCGGUUCGAAUCCGGCUGGGCCCA
rnacentral:tRNA from 1 species